UUAGUGGAAUAUUAGGUGUUGAGAUUUGGCAAAUGAAUUGCAUGCAUUUUUGCAUGCAAUUAGGCUAUAAAUAGAGGUGUUUUCAAAUGUUGAAGGACUUUUGCCUCUUUUAUCAUUUUCAUCAUCUCAACAAAAGAAAAAAGAAAGCUUCCAAUCUCAUUUUAUCUCCAUUACUUUCUACACCAAAAUUGGGUCCCACAACCCGGUUCUUUGUCUAGAGGAUAGCAGUUGAGUACUAGUGGUGGUCUCGGGUAGAAUUGGUAAGAAGACAUCAAACCUUUUGAAAGCUUCAAAGGUAAUACUUCUUAAAACCCUAAUUUGAUUAGUUUAUGGUUACAUGUUAAUUGUGGCAAUUAGGGUAGAAAUUCGAUUCUUUUUCCGCUGUGCAUGACUUAGUUCUAUCAUGUGGUAUCAGAGCAUGCUUCAUUUUUACCCAAUUGCAUGUGGUGGGUUCAUAUUUAUUAGAUAAAUUUUGGUUUGAACUAAAAUGGAUAUAUUAUGAUUUUGGCUCUAGAUUAAGUGUUUUUGUUCUAAUUAUUGUAAUUAGCCUUGUUAAUGGCUUAUUUUUAUUGUUGCAAAGUGUUUGUAAUUUUUAAAAAAAAUAAAAAAGGUCAUUAGAGUUGAAGCUAGGCUGUAAUUGGUUCAACCGGGUGAGAGAAUUGAAAAAAAAAUGAAGAAAAGAAGGUCACAGACCCGAAAACCCGGCCUUGACCCGCUUCGCGACCCGCACGCGCCCGCAUGCCCGCGCGCCCUCCUGCGUCCGCACGCGCGCCGCGCGCCCGCGCGCCCUCCUGCGCCCGCGCCGCCGCCUGCGCUCGCGCGCCUGCUCUGCGCCCGCGCGCCCUGCAUGCGCCCGUGCGCCCGCCUGUGCCCGCGCGCCCGCAUGCGCCUGCGCGCCCGCACGCCCGCCUUCGUCCGCGCGCCUGCCUUCGCACGACCCGUGUGCGCCUGGGCCGGUUCAAGCCAAUAAAUUUGGUUUUUGGGCCGGUUCAAGCGGUUUCGGUUGGUUUAUUUAGCCGGUUCGAAGUUUUUGGGAGUGGUUCUGUACUACACCAAAUUAAUUAUGUAAUAAUUUAGCACUUAGCUUAAUUUAGGAGCAAAAAAUCAGUCCAUUUUAGGGUGUUUUUUUUAUUUAUGCAUGUGAUGUAUGAUUAAAUUACUUUAAAUUUGUAUGUGCAUUUUGAAUGUCAUAUAGAUUUAAAAUCCCACCAUAGGUUAACAUGUUCAUGCAUUAAAAUGUAUGAUAUAAAAGUUAUAUUGUAUUGUAUGCAUGUUAAUUGAUUAAUAUGGAAAUUAAUUAAUAUGAUUAAUUAAUUAUUUAAUUAAUUAAGUUAUUCUUGAUUAAAUAUGAUUUAAUCAAAUUAAGUAAUUAUUGUUUGAUUUAAUCAAAGUACUGUUCACAGGUCACAUUUUGCUCCUGAUUUGGC
rnacentral:lncRNA from 1 species